CAAAAAUAAAUUGAUAAAGAAAAAGGCGGAGACGAUGGCGAAAGAGGGGGAGGGGGGGGGGUUAGGAUUUCGUACCUCAUGAUUUGCAAUUGGCAGUACAUCAUCCAGGCGGAGGUCUCAAGAAAGUAUCACCAACAUGCAAAAACUCUGAUCCGUGUAGCUGGGUUGAUUGAAGGUUACAAUCCUAACUGUUGGAAAUAUUCAGGUGAUUUUAAACAAGACUAGCCUCUCCAUGGAUCUUGAUGUCGAUGGGUUCGGAACAAUCCUCAGUCUCUUGGUUUAUACUCUUUUCCUACAUAGUCUUGAUAGAAAUCUUCAUCGCAACACCUAAAGAGUGAAAAGGGCAUCGAAAUCUGAGAAUUUUAGUGGCAUGGUCUUUCCGAGGCAGCCUUCAAGCGUUGUCUUAAUAUUAUUGUAAAUAAUCAGCGUGUAAUAAUUUGCGGGGAAGAACAUGUAAAAGUCUUGGCUGACGCCCUCUAAGAUUCCAAGGCGGUCGAAAGAAAAAAAGAAAAAGACUCCAAGGCGGAGAAAAUUGGCAAAGUGGUCAAUUGAGGUUUAAUA